rnacentral:rRNA from 1 species
AUACGGAGGAUGCAAGCGUUAUCCCGAUUUAUUGGGUUUAAAGGGUGCGUAGGCGGUUUGCUAAGCGGGAGGUGAAAUGCCGGCGCUCAACGUCGGAAGUGCCUCCCGAACUGGUGGACUUGAAUGACUCUGCCGUGGGAGGAAUGUGUAGUGUAGCGGUGAAAUGCUUAGAGAUUACACAGAACACCGAUUGCGAAGGCAUCUCACGAAGGGUUGAUUGACGCUGAGGCACGAAAGCGUGGGGAUCAAACAGGAUUAGAUACCCUGGUAGUCCACGCAGUAAACGAUGAUGGCUAACCGCUGGGCUUAUCAGUUCAGUGGCCAAGCGAAAGCGAUAAGCCAUCCACCUGGGGAGUACGACCGCAAGGUUGAAACUCAAAUGAAUUGACGGGG